CCUACGGGGGGCAGCAGUGAGGAAUAUUGGUCAAUGGACGAGAGUCUGAACCAGCCAAGUAGCGUGAAGGAUGACUGCCCUAUGGGUUGUAAACUUCUUUUAUAAGGGAAUAAAACGAGGCACGUGUGCCUGUUUGCAUGUACGUUAUGAAUAAGGAACGGCUAACUCCGUGCCAGCAGCCGCGGUAAUACGGAGGAUCCGAGCGUUAUCCGGAUUUAUUGGGUUUAAAGGGAGCGUAGAUGGGUUGUUAAGUCAGUUGUGAAAGUGUGCGGCUCAACCGUAAAAUUGCAAUUGAUACUGGCAGUCUUGAGUACAGUGGAGGUAGGCGGAAUUCGUGGUGUAGCGGUGAAAUGCUUAGAUAUCACGAAGAACCCCGAUUGCGAAGGCAGCUUACUAAACUGUGACUGACAUUGAUGCUCGAAAGUGUGGGUAUCAAACAGGAUUAGAUACCCUGGUAGUC
rnacentral:rRNA from 1 species